rnacentral:rRNA from 1 species
GACAGAGGAUGCAAACGUUGCUCGGAAUUAUUGGGCGUAAAGAGCUCGUAGGCGGUCUGUCGCGUCGGAUGUGAAAGCCCGGGGCUUAACCCCGGGUCUGCAUUCGAUACGGGCAGACUAGAGUGUGGUAGGGGAGAUCGGAAUUCCUGGUGUAGCGGUGAAAUGCGCAGAUAUCAGGAGGAACACCGGUGGCGAAGGCGGAUCUCUGGGCCAUUACUGACGCUGAGGAGCGAAAGCGUGGGGAGCGAACAGG